rnacentral:lncRNA from 1 species
UAAAAUAAAUAUGCAAAUAAACGGGUCUGACUCAAUCCGGAGGCUCAGGAUCAUCUGGAUGAAGGGCUCUGAUGUCCCCAUCAACUGAUACCAAGUUGAUGCCGGACCAAAUUUAAAUGGAGGCAGGAGAAGAGGGGAAGAGAAGGAGGAAGAAGAAGAGAAGAAGGAGAAGGGAGGAGAAGAGAAGAAGAGGAAACGUGGGGGAAAGAAAUCUUUAAUUCUUCAUUAAAAACCCUAAUCAGCUUACAAGUUCCCUUUAAAUAGGGCCCCAUAAGAACAAUUAAAAUAAACCCCUUACAUAAAAUAAUUCCCCACAAACAAGCCCUAAAAUGAAAAUAAGCCCAGAAUAAAAUAAACCACAAAUAAAUCCCUAAACACAAAUAAACCCAGAAAUAACAAUAAGCAAAUAUGCAAAUAAAAUGGGGACCUAGCUGAUGUCCCCAUCAACUCCUCCUGGGUGAGAAAAACUCGACCCCGUCGAGUAGUAAAUCGGGGCGGCUGUCGUACUGCUCCAGAAGAUCCAAGUCAAGGCGCUGCAACUCAGCUCGCGAAAUCCACGACACAUCUGAUUCGGG